rnacentral:rRNA from 1 species
GUGCCCAAUCGUGGGGGAUAACGUAGCGAAAGCUACGCUAAUACCGCAUACGAUCUACGGAUGAAAGCGGGGGAUCGCAAGACCUCGCGCGAGUGGAGCGGCCGAUGGCAGAUUAGGUAGUUGGUGGGGUAAAGGCUCACCAAGCCUGCGAUCUGUAGCUGGUCUGAGAGGACGACCAGCCACACUGGGACUGAGACACGGCCCAGACUCCUACGGGAGGCAGCAGUGGGGAAUUUUGGACAAUGGGCGCAAGCCUGAUCCAGCCAUUCCGCGUGCAGGAUGAAGGCCCUCGGGUUGUAAACUGCUUUUGUACGGAACGAAAAGGCCUUUUCUAAUACAGAGGGCUCAUGACGGUACCGUAAGAAUAAGCACCGGCUAACUACGUGCCAGCAGCCGCGGUAAUACGUAGGGUGCAAGCGUUAAUCGGAAUUACUGGGCGUAAAGCGUGCGCAGGCGGUGAUGUAAGACAGAUGUGAAAUCCCCGGGCUCAACCUGGGAACUGCAUUUGUGACUGCAUCGCUGGAGUGCGGCAGAGGGGGAUGGAAUUCCGCGUGUAGCAGUGAAAUGCGUAGAUAUGCGGAG